AACGUAGGACACAAGCGUUAUCCGGAAUUACUGGGCGUAAAGCGCGCGCAGGCGGGUCAACAAGUCAUGCGUGAAAGCUCCUAGCUAAACUGGGAGAGGUCGGAUGAUACUGUUGGUCUGGAGGGCGUCAGAGGAGUGUGGAAUUCCGCGUGUAGUGGUGAAAUGCGUAGAGAUGCGGAGGAACACCAGUGGCGAAGGCGGCACUCUGGGGCGCACCUGACGCUGAGGCGCGAAAGCAUGGGUAGCGAACGGG
rnacentral:rRNA from 1 species